GGAGUUCCAGGAACUGCGGCGCGCGCCUCCAGACCGCUAGCCCCGGUCCCGCACGGCAUGGCUGCGGGUCCUGUGUUCGAGUCAUUGGGCCUUCCC
rnacentral:tRNA from 1 species